rnacentral:rRNA from 1 species
UACGUAGGGUGCGAGCGUUGUCCGGAAUUACUGGGCGUAAAGAGCUCGUAGGUGGUUUGUCGCGUUGUUCGUGAAAUCUCACGGCUUAACUGUGAGCGUGCGGGCGAUACGGGCAGACUUGAGUACUGCAGGGGAGACUGGAAUUCCUGGUGUAGCGGUGGAAUGCGCAGAUAUCAGGAAGAACACCCGUGGCGAAGGCGGCUCUCUGGGACGGUACUGACGCUGAGACGCGAAAGCGUGGGGAGCGAACAGG